rnacentral:rRNA from 1 species
CCCUUAGAUGUCCUGGGCCGCACGCGCGUUACACUGAUGCAUUCAACGAGCUUAUAACCUUGGCCGAGAGGCCUGGGCAAUCUUGUUAACGUGCAUCGUGAUAGGGAUAGAUUAUUGAAAUUAUUAAUCUUGAACGAGGAAUUCCUAGUAAACGCAGAUCAUCAAUCUGCAUUGAUUACGUCCCUGCCCUUUGUACACACCGCCCGUCGCACCUACCGAUUGGAUGGUCCGGUGAAGCCUCGGGAUUGUGGUUCUUGCCGCUUUAUUGUGGCGUGACCGGGAGAACUUGUCUAAACCUUAUCAUCUAGAGGAAGGUGAAGUCGUAACA